GUGCUAAUACCGGAUAAGUCUUUACGGAGAAAGCUUUAUGCACCAUUGGAUGAGCCUGCACUUGAUUAGUUUGUUGGUGGGGUAAUGGCCUACCAAGACUGUGAUCAAUAGCUGAUUUGAGAGGAUGAUCAGCCACAUUGGGACUGAGACACGGCCCAAACUCCUACGGGAGGCAGCAGUGGGGAAUCUUGCACAAUGGAGGAAACUCUGAUGCAGCGAUGCCGCGUGAGUGAAGAAGGCCUUUGGGUUGUAAAGCUCUUUCGUCGGGGAAGAAAAUGACUGUACCCGAAUAAGAAGGUCCGGCUAACUUCGUGCCAGCAGCCGCGGUAAUACGAAGGGACCUAGCGUAGUUCGGAAUUACUGGGCUUAAAGAGUUCGUAGGUGGUUGAAAAAGUUAGUGGUGAAAUCCCAGAGCUUAACUCUGGAACUGCCAUUAAAACUUUUCAGCUAGAGUAUGAUAGAGGAAAGCAGAAUUUCUAGUGUAGAGGUGAAAUUCGUAGAUAUUAGAAAGAAUACCAAUUUGCAAAGGCAGCUUUCUGGAUCAUUACUGACACUGAGGAACGAAAGCAUGGGUAGCGAAGAGGAUUAGAUACCCUCGUAGUCCAUGCCGUAAACGAUGUGUGUUAGACGUUGGAAAUUUAUUUUCAGUGUCGCAAGGAAACCGAUAAACACACCGCCUGGGGAGUACGACCGCAAGGUUAAAACUCAAAUGAAUUGACGGGGA
rnacentral:rRNA from 1 species